GCUACCAUAGCUCAGUAGGUACGAGCACGUCCUUGGUAAGGACGGGGUCCCCGGUUCGAAUCCGGGUGGUAGCUCCA
rnacentral:tRNA from 1 species